UUCAUGGUUUGCUCCAAAUUAGUUGCUUUUGAGUUUUGAACCAUUUCAAAUUAUUGACAUGAAAGUAGCCUAAAAUUGGCAGACCCUUCUCUCUCUUGGUUCUCUACACAGGUUUCUUUCUCUCUGUUUGUUGGUGUUUCUUUCUUCCCAAACCCUCCUUUCUUUUUCUAUUUCCCUUUCUCUUUGCUACGAUCUGGCUCAUGGGUUCGAGUGCGUCAUUUCUUUUUGAAAGUAAAUGUUUUCUUUCAUAAAUUUCUUUGUUUUUAAUUUUAAUUUUGCUGGAGGAUUUUGGUUCAGAUUUUGUUUUGCUUUUGGGUCUUCCUUUGUUUUUUAUGUUCAUUUUCAUUACUAUGUUUGAGCAUGAUUUUGUUUAAAGGGUUUCUACUUUUGGAUUCUGCUAUGACCAUGUGUUAUUUUCUACAUCAAAUUGUUUACCUUGUGCUCAAACUGGAUCUUUUAUUUGUUUGUUAUGAUCUUAUGAUCCUAAUUUAUACCAUUUUAAACUUAAAUUGCAGGGUUUGUUGCAACAACAGGUAAGAACAAUUUGUGAGUUUAGUGACUUAAUUUGAUGGUUUCAGGAUAAUGACGAAGAUGCACAUCUUCUUAGUCCUAAAGCUUUGUUCCCCUAUCUCCAUCUGGUAAUGGACAGACGGAUUUGCAUAUGAGGUAGCCAGAUCAUGUAAGGAUGAGCCGUACGUUCUUCUGAAAUCAUACUUUCUAUUCAAUAUGAGAAAAAUUGAGUUUUUUAAGAUGAUUAGCAUGGUCUUGGUGAGUGCAUGAAGGAGGAAGCAAGUUAAGUUAGAAAGUAUAAUCUAAUUGUGGCAAAAUGGUUUAGCCACCAUAUACCUGAACCUUUAGCAGUGAUACAAGGAAUGUUGAAGAUAAUGAAAUUUCUAAUAUUUAUGUAAGAUAACACAACAAGAACUGCUUGCUGCAGAGAUAGAGAUGGGUAGGCGAUAACUAAGAAAAUGCUUAUCCUCUAAUUGCAGUCUUUUGUACAUGGGGUGCCUGAUAUAUAAUUUAGAAUAAGAUUUUCAGUGUAUUGUUUUUGCUGUAAUAGAAUGUGUUUUUGGAAUUGUAAGAUGUUGUACUACAUAUCUAAAUUGAAAUGA